UGACUUCCAAGUAGGAUCAAGGAAGAGAAGAGAGAGAGAGUGUGUGAGUGUGUGUGAGAGACAGAGAGCUUUUAGCCAUACAGAAAUAUCUGAAAUAUUAGACAAGGGAAUUCAGAACAUGAAUAGUCAAGCAAACUGAUUUAAGUACAACUGGUCUCUUUUUCCAUAUUUGCUGCUGCAGUAGGUGGAAAUCCCUUUUUCUAUGUGAAUAGAACACCCUCCCCAAGUUUUGCAUGAAGUAACUCUCACCAGACUUAAUCAAAAGUAACACCACUGACAUCAAUAGAGUUGAACCAGUGUAAAACCAGUAAAGAGAGAGUCAGUCCCUGCAUUUCAAGUUUGUGAAAGGAAUUUGUUUUUCUCUCACUGACAGCUCAACACUCGGAUACACAUCUAGAGAACAAAGACUGAACUGGGGAGUUGGUCCCAGGCUGAAGGGGAUUUGCAGCCUGUGUAUGGAAGAACUGUGAUCUGCUUGUAUUGUCUAUCAAGAGAUUCCUUGUCUUUAUUCUUCAUUCUGCUUCUUUUGACUAAAAGCAGAAAUCCUUUCCAGAGAGACACUAAGCCAUCUUUGUCAUGGAUGUUUCAACAUUAACCAGAAAGGUUUCUUUUACAGCCUCAUCACCAUAGUAUCCGAGUGCCUUCCAGCAGUGCAUUAAACAACUUGAUUACACAUCUAUCAUGUGUGGUUCAUUAUCUCUCUCAUCCUCUCCUCCCAC